AGCAUGCUUCGCCAGCGGGUCCACUAGAGCCACCCACUCAAGCGUUUUCUCAUGGGUCUGCCGAGCCAGCGGUGUCUUCCCAUAUGACCACCGAGCCACAGGAUUCGGCGCCAGUGGGUCCACAGGAGCGACCCAUUCAGGAGCAUUCUCAUCAGCCUGCCGAGGCAGAGGUGUCUUCUCAUGAGACUACCGAGGCGCAUCAUCUCGUCCAGGAGACUACCUCAUAUUCACCACCACACCCAUCUCAGGAGCCUACAGACCCAUCUCAGGAGCCUACUCAGGCGCCCGUUGACACACAGGUUUGAUUAAAUAAAUAACGUUAAUGUAUUCAAUAUAAAUAAGAAAUGGUACUAAUUA